GUCCCCGUAGCUCAGCGGUCAGCGUUUGUAUAUGUCUUUAUUUCUCAGCGUAAUAUAUUUAUCCAGCGAUUUGAUUUAAAGCAAGCGAAAGACGUCGGUUCGAAUCCGACCGGGGACA